GCACGCGCUGCUGUGCUCCGCUUAACUCACUCCGUAUCUGUGCGCGUUUGGAGCGCGCGCGCACCAGGUAAACUAAAGGCACGAGCGGCGCUGCUUUACUGUGUUAAGUGCUGUUCGGCUCGCGCUCGCUUACCUGCGGUGUGUUGGAUUAUUAUGAGCGUGGAGUGAGAUCCGGGACUUUUCUGCACUUUGGAGGACGAUGCGCGCGAGGCUGCAGCACACACGCGCUGUCCAGCUUCUGGCCGCCACCUUAUUCGCCAGACGUCCUUCCUGCGACGUGAUUGGCUCUGAG
rnacentral:lncRNA from 1 species